GGUAAAUUUCUUAGGAGUCAGUGGCAAAGUUUCUAGGCACGUGGGUGGACACGAGGCAGACAUGAAAGGCCCGUUUGGUGAUACUGUCCAGCUUUUUCUCUGUGAUAGUCACGCUAAGCUCUAUACUUGACCCACUGCACUGGUCUGAUAAUGUGACUUCUACCCUCGGUCACUUCGCAAUGGGCCGUCCUCUCAGCUACAAGCCAGCCACUCUAUUCUUCUUCGGCAUUCCCUUGAAAUGGAUGGUGACUUUGAUUCCAAUCUGAUUUUGAGGUAAUGAGGUGAGGCAACAUUGGGAACCACAGACUCACAGGAGGUUGCUACUGGACAAGGAGCACCUGGAAACAUGGUGAAGUAAGUGCACGUCUUCCCAGCCAGUGAACAAAGUCUGACCCAGCCUGCGGUAGAAUCUGUUGAUCCUACAUUGGUUUUGUCAAUCCACUUGGAACCCACAGAACUGGAGUGGAACUAAGUCAUUUUCAACUUUCAGGGAAUUCCUAAGGGGAAAAUACCUGAACAGUAUUUAGGAAUGGGUUGAUAAAAAGCAAGUGACA